rnacentral:rRNA from 1 species
UACGUAGGUGGCAAGCGUUGUCCGGAUUUUAUUUUGGGUUUUAAAGGGUUGCGAGGCGGCCCUGUAAGUUCAGUGCUGAAAUAUCCCAGCUUUAACUGGGAGGGUGGCAUUGAUACUGCGGGGCUAGAGUACAGAUGAGGUAGGCGGAAUUGACGGUGUAGCGGUGAAAUGCUUUAGAUAUCGUCAAGAACACCUAUAGCGAAGGCAGCUUACUAGGCUGUAACUGACGCUGAGGCACGAAAAGUGUGGGGGAUCAAACAG